UACGUAGGUGGCAAGCGUUGUCCGGAUUUACUGGGCGUAAAGAGCGCGCAGGCGGCUGGUCAAGUCCGAUGUGAAAGCUCCCGGCUUAACUGGGAAACGGCAUCGGAAACUGAUCGGCUUGAAGGUGGGAGAGGGUAGUGGAAUUCCCGGUGUAGUGGUGAAAUGCGUAGAUAUCGGGAGGAACACCAGUGGCGAAGGCGACUACCUGGCCCACCCUUGACGCUGAGGCGCGAAAGCUAGGGGAGCAAACGGG
rnacentral:rRNA from 1 species